rnacentral:misc_RNA from 1 species
GCAAACUUGGUCAUUUAGAGGAAGUAAAAGUCGUAACAAGGUUUCCGUAGGUGAACCUGCGGAAGGAUCAUUACCGAGUGCGGGCUCUCGCAGCCCAACCUCCCACCCGUGUUUACCGUGACCCUGUUGCUUCGGCGGGCCCACUGGGCCUCUGCCUGGUCGCCGGGGGGCGUCUCGUCCCCGGGUCCGCGCCCGCCGGAGAAUCUCUGAACCCUGUCUGAAGUAAGUGUCUGAGUGAAGAUUUUAAAUCAUUAAAACUUUCAACAACGGAUCUCUUGGUUCCGGCAUCGAUGAAGAACGCAGC